UUAUAAUUAGGUUGAGCGGAC
rnacentral:miRNA from 1 species